CCUACGGGAGGCUGCAGUGAGGAAUAUUGGUCAAUGGACGAGAGUCUGAACCAGCCAAGUAGCGUGAAGGAUGACUGCCCUAUGGGUUGUAAACUUCUUUUAUAAAGGAAUAAAACGAGGCACGUGUGCCUUUUUGCAUGUACUUUAUGAAUAAGGAUCGGCUAACUCCGUGCCAGCAGCCGCGGUAAUACGGAGGAUCCGAGCGUUAUCCGGAUUUAUUGGGUUUAAAGGGAGCGUAGAUGGGUUGUUAAGUCAGUUGUGAAAGUUUGCGGCUCAACCGUAAAAUUGCAAUUGAUACUGGCAGUCUUGAGUACAGUUGAGGUAGGCGGAAUUCGUGGUGUAGCGGUGAAAUGCUUAGAUAUCACGAAGAACCCCGAUUGCGAAGGCAGCUUACCAAACUGUGACUGACAUUGAUGCUCGAAAGUGUGGGUAUCAAACAGGAUUAGAUACCCCAGUAGUC
rnacentral:rRNA from 1 species